AGAGUUUGAUUCUGGCUCAGGACAAACGCUGGCGGCGUGCCUAACACAUGCAAGUCGAACGGAUAUGGGGAGCUUGCUCCUCAUGUUAGUGGCGAACGGGUGAGUAACGCGUGAGCAACCUGCCCUUCAGUGGGGGACAACAGCUGGAAACGGCUGCUAAUACCGCAUAACACAUCCGGGAGGCAUCUCCUGGAUGUCAAAGAUUUAUUGCUGAAGGAUGGGCUCGCGUCUGAUUAGUUAGUUGGCGGGGUAACGGCCUACCAAGACGACGAUCAGUAGCCGGUCUGAGAGGAUGAACGGCCACAUUGGGACUGAGAUACGGCCCAGACUCCUACGGGAGGCAGCAGUGGGGAAUAUUGGGCAAUGGGGGAAACCCUGACCCAGCAACGCCGCGUGAAGGAAGAAGGCUUUCGGGUUGUAAACUUCUUUUAUGAGGGACGAAGGAUGUGACGGUACCUCAUGAAUAAGCUACGGCUAACUACGUGCCAGCCGCAGC
rnacentral:rRNA from 1 species